AAGACUCUACUUUCAGGGAUCAUUUCUUUAGUCUGGAACUAGAGGAUUGUGUUUCUACAGAGGUUGGUCUGGCUGUCCAUGAUGAUGAUGAUGAUGAAGAUGUUUCCUUCAGAGCAGGAAGCUGGUGAGAAGAUGAGAAUCUUCUUCACUGAUGAAGACUGUUCAGUGUUUCUGGAUGUGACACUGAAGGAGGAAACAUUGUCUGAGUGGA
rnacentral:snoRNA from 1 species